rnacentral:rRNA from 1 species
AGUGGAUGGGGAGCAACCUAGUUGUGCGUGUGUAAAGGUAGUGCCAAGAAAAGCGGUGAUCAUGAUGAAAAUCAAUUCCCGGUACCCGAAACCGACACAGGUGGGCAAGUAGAGAAUACUAAGGGGCGCGAGGUAACUCUCUCCAAGGAACUCGGCAAAAUGACCCCGUAACUUAGGGAGAAGGGGUGCCACCGAGAGGUGGUCGCAGUGAAGAGGCCCAGGCGACUGUUUAGCAAAAACAUAGGUCUCUGCAAACUCGAAAGAGGAGGUAUAGGGGCUGACGCCUGCCCAGUGCCGGAAGGUUAAAGAAGUUGGUCAGUCUUAGGAUAAAGCUAGCGACUGAAGCCCCGGUGAACGGCGGCCGUAACUAUAACGGUCCUAAGGUAGCGAAAUUCCUUGUCGGGUAAGUUCCGACCCGCACGAAAGGCGUAACGAUCUGGGCGCUGUCUCGGAGAGAGGCUCGGCGAAAUAGGAUUGUCUGUGAAGAUACGGACUACCUGCAUUUGGACAGAAAGACCCUAUGAAGCUUUACUAUAGCUUGGAAUUGUGUUCGGGCUUCCUGUGCGCAGGAUAGGUGGGAGGCGAAGAAGGUAUUCUUGUGGGGAUACUGGAGCCAACGGUGAGAUACCACUCUCAGGAGGCUAGAAUUCUAACUUAAUUAAGGACGGUUUCAGGUGGGUAGUUUGACUGGGGCGGUCGCCUCCAAAAAGGUAACGGAGGCGUACAAAGGUUCCCUCAGACUGGUUGGAAAUCAGUCGCAGAGUGCAAAGGUAGAAGGGAGCUUGACUGCGAGAAGUACAGUUCGAGCAGGGUGGAAACACGGUCUUAGUGAUCCGACGGUGCUGUGUGGAAGGGCCGUCGCUCAACGGAUAAAAGUUACUCUAGGAUAACAGGCUGAUCUCCCCCAAGAGUUCACAUCGACGGGGAGGUUUGGCACCUCGAUGUCGGCUCAUCGCAACCUGGGGCGGAAGUACGUCCCAAGGGUUGGGCUGUUCGCCCAUUAAAGCGGUACGUGAGCUGGGUUCAGAACGUCGUGAGACAGUUCGGUCCAUAUCCGAUGUAGGCGUGAGAAUAUUGAGAGGAGCCUUCCUUAGUACGAGAGGACCGGGAAGGACGCACCGCUGGUGUACCUGUUAUGAUGCCAAUUGUAAACGCAGGGUAGCCAAGUGCGGAGAGGAUAACCGCUGAAAGCAUCUAAGUGGGAAGCCCACCUCAAGAUGAGUAUUCUGGUGUAAGGUCACGGGAAGACGACCCGUAAAUAGGCACGAGGUGGAAGUGCAGAGAUGUAUGAAGCCGAAGUGUACUAAUAGACCGUCGGCUUGACC